AUGGAGAGUGUUGAAGCUGCAAGUGCAAACUCCGGGAGAGUUGGGAUCAUUGUUUGGACCAAUGCCAUGACAAAAACCAUGCUUGGUUUUUUGACUAGUCUUGUUGCUGAUGGGAAGAGAAUGUCAAGUGGCUUCAGGGACGUGCAUCAUAGACAAUGUGCUAUUGUUUUGAACAAGCAAUUCAAGCUUUCUGUCACCGGAGAGCAAGUCAAAAACCAUCUCAAGAAGUGGAGGAAGAUUUGGACGAAGGUGGUCAAUUUGAAGAAUUUAAGUGGAGCUCUAUGGGAUGAAGAUACUUGCACAAUUAGGCUCAGCGAGGAGCACUAUGCAGGGCAUUGUAUGACCCACAAAGCUGAUGCCCCCUUCCUGAAUACCCCAAUUGAGCACUAUCAUGCCAUGGCUGCCAUUUAUGGGACAAUUGGGGCCAAGGGGCUGAAUGGCAGAUCUGGCAAUGAUCUUCUUUUCAUUGAUCUUGAAGACGAGGAGAACAGUGAGGUCAACACGUCACCAAAUGUUGGUGAAUCUUCUAUCCCCAAAGCACCACCAAAAAAGAAGGCUAAGGUAAAGCAUGUUCCUGAAGAUCCACUUAAUUUAAUUCUUAAAGAUGGGUUCAAACUUGUGGCUGAUGCGCUUGUGAAGUCUAGUGGAGAUGAUGAUGACAUACCAUAUGACCUUUGGGAUGUAGUCUCCACAUUGCCAGAUUUUAAUGAAGAGCACGUAGCCCACUACUAUGCGCAUCUUGUGGACAACCCAAAGACUGCAAGAGCCUUCAUGAAACUUUCCCAAACCAACAAGUCUGUUUGGGUGAGUAGGUAUAUCAAGAAGAACUUCUAA
rnacentral:rRNA from 1 species